AACGCCGCGUGAGUGAAGAAGGUCUUAGGAUUGUAAAGCUCUGUCCUUAGGGAAGAACCGUGGGUAUAGCAAAUGAUACCCACCUGACGGUACCUUUGGAGGAAGCACUGGCUAACUACGUGCCAGCAACUGCGGUGACUGAGCGGGCUGGCAAGGCGCAUA
rnacentral:rRNA from 1 species